rnacentral:lncRNA from 1 species
GUUGGAGAAGGAGGUCGGCUAACAUCUGAGCAGAUUUUAGGAUAUUUCUUCAAUUUGAUAAGUAAAAUUGUCCCCAAAUUUUUUGUAUUUAUUUGUUACUAAGAAAUUGAGAGGUGUAUAAAAUUUUAAACAAAAUUAAUAGUUUAAUUCAAAGAUAUUGAGGUUCUAAACUAUAAUAGAAUUUGAUUUAUGGUUUACAAUUUGGUUAGGGUUUGGUUUAGAAUUUAGGAUUUGAUUAGGAUUUGAUUUAAAAUUUAAGGUUUGAUUAGGGUGUGGUUUAGGUUUUAGAAUUUGAUAGGAUUUUUCUAAGAUUUUGUUAGGAUUUAGGAUUUGAUUAGGAUUUGAUUUAAGAUUUAGGGUUUGAUUUAGAAUUUAGGAUUUGUAUAAGGUUUGAUUGAAGUCUAUUAAGGUUUCAAG